CCGCACUCAAAAUGGCGGCGGGCGCGUCCGGCCCUCCCUGAGGCGGGAUCUGUGUGAGGGCGCGGGAGCCGCAGCGGCCGCGGGUCCCUCAGAGCGCGGCCGGAGCCGGGCAGUGAGGUUUCAUGAGUCACGCUGGGCUGCGGGGAGUUUCUUUGGAAGAUGUACAUGUCGGUUGAAAACCGCACGAGUUCCCACCUCCAUCUGAAGAGGUCACCCGGCAUCCGCUCCUGGUCCCUCUGUGUUGGAAUAGCCUCCAUAGGUUUGGCUGCUGCUUAUUACAGUGCAGACAGCUUGGCAUGGAAGCUCUUCUAUAUGGCUGGGUGUUUCUUUGUGGCAGCACAGAACCUGGAGCAGUGGGAGGAAGCUGUAUUUGAUAAGAACAAGGGAACAGUCUGCCUAAAAACAUUCAAUCUGUACAAAAAAAUACUGACCUUGUCCAAAGGAGGCCACGAACAAGUGGUGGCUCUGCUGAGCGAGAUCCGGGAUGUGAACGUGGAGGAGGAGGCCGUGCGCUACUUUGGGAAGGGUUACCUGGUGGUGCUGCGCUUUGUCACCGGAUUCUCCCACCCCCUGACCCAGAGUGCCGUGCUGGGCUGCAGAAGUGAUGUGGAAGCAGUUGCCAAACUCAUCACUAGUUUUCUGGAGCUGCACAGAGUAGAAAGCCCACAAGAUUUCUCUCAGAGCAGCGAAACAGAGGCGAGUGAUGCAGAUGAACCACAGGAUAAAUACUAAUAGUCAUCAUGAGCUGCAGCAAGUAGAGGCUUUCACACAUCUGGAAAACACUCUGCUUGUUCUGCAGAAAAAGAAAUCCCUCACAACCUCGGCCUGGGCAUUUCUCUACAAUUUGCAAUGGGAGGAAUGUGUCUUAAUGCACCUCAUUUAGUGCUAAACUGCUUCGAGAGCCACGGUCCAAGAGUUGCUGUUGUAGAGUCCAAAGCAAAUUCGGUUUCAGUUGCUCUUCUGCCUUAAUUCCUGCACGUGGACACUGCUGGCUUCUGAACUUUGUCAGUUCACCACUGACAAACUUGUCUAGGAAUAAUUAUUUAUUGAUGGAUCGGUAUGAAAUAAUUGCUUUCCCAUUAGUGAAGCGGAGGUGCAGAUGCAAAGAGCCUCUUACUGCAAACAUCUGCUGCAGACUGAAAAAAUCCAGCCCCAAAUGUGGAACAAACCCACUGCUCCUGCUGUGGAAGGACUGGUGAUGGAACAGCAGGACACAGCACAGCUGAC